UCCUUCUUAGCUCAGUUGGUAGAGCGCGUCACUAGUACUCAUAUUGUCAAUGACGAGGUCAGUCGUUCAAGUCGGCUAGAAGGAA
rnacentral:tRNA from 1 species